UGGACAGAUUACUGUAUUCGACUGUAUUCACGGCGUGAAAUUGGGGAUUAUACUGUUUUUAAAACGGAAAGUGAAUCAAUUAACAUAAUAGACUCCU
rnacentral:pre_miRNA from 1 species